UAAGGGAUUUUGUAAUUUUAUGAUGUUUUUCCUUUUUGAUACAUCUUCCUUUUUAAUGUUUCAUUUACUCAGUUCUCCUUAUAAUGCUCCAUUUACUCAUUUACUCAUAUGCUCCUGUUAAGAAAGGCUUGGAAAGCACAUAGUGUUCACAUAUCUUUAUGUUUUGUCUUUGCUUCUUCUCACACACAUACACAUGAGCCCCGCAGUAUUCGCUGACUCCUGUGAAAGUCUCUUGCAGACACCCUUGGAAACAGGACCCAACUGGCUUCUGUUUUCCUCGAGAUAGACAAUACACUCACACACACACACACACACACUGUGUCCUAUACAUGCCCAGAUUGUCUGUUAAAGCCUGAAAAAACAGGGAAUGUUGCGAUGUAUAAAUAAAGCUGACUGCAAAGCCUCGGUGUGGGUAUCACCCGAUCACUCACCCGUGCGCACGUAGUUCUCUGAACAAAACUCUGACUGUUUCUGUAUUCUUUCAAUGUUUAAAAAUGUCUUGCCACUGACAUUUAAUUGGUCCUUCGAGCCGGAUAGUUUAUUGAUAUUAUUGUAUCAUCUAACUAUUCACAGACGGAGCCACCAGAUCCUGACGUCGUGACUACCUGCACUGCAACCACCGUUUCUAGCGAAGCGAGGAAAAGCCCAGAGUCGUACAUUCGCCUACUGGCCAGUGUCUUAUACAGGUCCACGACGCCAGGUUCUCGGUGACGCCGGGAAAAAGAACACAGCGCAACAUUGAAGGCUGCUUUGCUGGCCCUGAAAGCCGAGGCUGACCUGGACUCCUGCUCUCCCCUGUACCACCUUCGACGUGACCCUGACCAAAUGCUGCAGCAGCUGGACUUACAAAAACAAUUUCCUGAAAAUGUCAACAGGGCUGCAGGAAAGCGAUCUUAUGCAGCGGAGACGGAGAGCGUUAAAACCAAGGCCCGUUUCGCUACACGGGGGAAAAUUCCCAGACAGCUUCAGCUGACAGAGCUGUGACGAGACGCCUGCCAAGCCGACAACUUAUGACAAGUAAGGCCGAGCAAAAGAAUGCUGACCUUAACAAUUCUGCAUUAACACUGUGCAGGACAGGGAUGGACCAACACGGCAGCAAAAAGGGCGUGCCAGAGACAGGAGGAGCAACUGAGGUCGAAUGGACAAAACACAGAAGAAGAUGCAGUUUUCACCUGCGGUGAGCAUGGACACUGGAGAAAAGGACUGUCCCAAUUGGGGCCAGAACCAGGACAAACUGAACUUUGAACAGCAGCAAUGGUGGCAAGCGGACUGAAAAGGAGGAGGGCAGGACCCCAGGGCACGCUUCAGGCUGUGGUUUACCCAGAACACCAGAACAGGAAAGUGAUGAACACACACACAUCUACAUACACCGAUUCAGAAUGAAGUGAAACACACACAUGAACACAUGUGCACUCGUUGAUAGAGGGAGAAAUGGCACACACACACGCUUAUGCAAUGAAGAAUGCUUUGCUCGCAAAUGCUUAUGCUGAUAUGCAAAAUGCUGCACACAAACAUCCCAAUACAUAAUUUUUAUGAGAAGCAAUUGAUUACUUAAAAUGUGUUCUAUGUCACCCAGAGGAUAUUUAUGUAGAUUUAAGGAACAAGGUCUAAAAUUGUCUGGUUAUGAAAACAAUGUCUGUGCGUGAGGUCUGUUUAUGGCUCAAGGUCUUGAUUGAAUUGUCUAUUGUGCUACACACUUCGUAAAUGAAGUAAUAUCAAAAGUCUCUGAAGCACUGGGCUUCAGUAUAAAACAUCACUUCUCAUAUCCCCCGCAGAGUACCUAUUACAAGUGAACCGAUAGACAAAUCCAUAAGAGAAACAACACUAGCAGAAUGGAUGACAAAACUGUUAGAAAACAAAGAAAUAGUUUUGAACAAUCAACUGCCAGAUGAUUCUCUUCCAGUCUCUUCCAGGUUGAAACCAGGAGAUUGGAUCCUGAUAAAAGUGCUCCAGAGGAAAAACUGGAGCUCCCCGAGGUGGGAAGGACCCUACCAAGUCCUCCUGGCCACACCAACAGCCUGCAAAAUUGCUGAACGACCUUCCUGGAUUCAUCAGAGCCACUGUAAAAAAGUGAGUGACAGCCCAUAAACACUGAGACGCCAGCACCCCUGCCUGUUAGUGAUCUGGGAGGUGGAGAGAGGGCUGUUUGGGUAAAUCCCGCCCUUGUUCUUCUCGCCCCUAGUCUACUCACUCACAGGACCAGGUGUGUUCGGUCAUCAUGAAGACCAUACUCGUUCUAAUGACCAGUGUCACAAUUCUGUUGGGACUGCUGUUACUGAUUCCACAAGAAGAACAACAGCACCACCUGGAGACAAGACUGACACAUGACGCAAUACAUCCAGACGACAUGACGCAAGAUCACAACCACCCAUGGAUGAACAAUGCCUGGUACCGUUAUGUGUGCAACUCCACAAGAGACAGAAACUAUUACAUCUGUUCGCACAUGCCUCUUAAUGCAAAACACCUGAUAAUGUGCAUUCCACCAACUUGUCUGACACACUGAACACGCUACGUCAGCUCAGACGAGUACAGCAGCAAGAUUACACGCAAAACACAGCGGACUGGCUCACAUGGCUGCUUAGCGGGUCAUGGAAGUCAUUACUCACAAAAGGACUAACAUCCGUUGGAAUGCUCCUUAUGUUACUUUGCUUAUUUUCCACAUGUGUACUGCCUUGUAUUCGGAGUAUGAUAAGCAAAAUGUUUACUGUACGAGUGCAAGCUUACAUUGCAUUAUCUCAAGUUGAACAAGCUCAAGAAAAGGUACAAGUUGAAGAAGAUGAUUUCUAAGCACUAAACUGUGUAAACCCACUAAAGUUGAUCAUGUACGUUUUCACAAAAUGAUACUCUAGUUGAAAAUGCUUCUGCAAGUGACUAGUAGUUGAAGUACAUAAAUAUAUAUGAACAACAGCAGGGAAUGUUAAGGGAUUUUGUAAUUUUAUGAUGUUUUUCCUUUUUGAUACAUCUUCCUUUUUAAUGUUUCAUUUACUCAGUUCUCCUUAUAAUGCUCCAUUUACUCAUUUACUCAUAUGCUCCUGUUAAGAAAGGCUUGGAAAGCACAUAGUGUUCACAUAUCUUUAUGUUUUGUCUUUGCUUCUUCUCACACACAUACACAUGAGCCCCGCAGUAUUCGCUGACUCCUGUGAAAGUCUCUUGCAGACACCCUUGGAAACAGGACCCAACUGGCUUCUGUUUUCCUCGAGAUAGACAAUACACUCACACACACACACACACACACUGUGUCCUAUACAUGCCCAGAUUGUCUGUUAAAGCCUGAAAAAACAGGGAAUGUUGCGAUGUAUAAAUAAAGCUGACUGCAAAGCCUCGGUGUGGGUAUCACCCGAUCACUCACCCGUGCGCACGUAGUUCUCUGAACAAAA